CCGGACUGAUUGCAUGACUGUUAACUUGGCUCUUUAUUACACGGAUUACAAUUUUUGCAAUUUUGAUUAAGUAUUUUAAAAUGGCGAAAUCAGCUGAAUUAAAAUGUUAUUUCAAAUGUGAUAUUGAUGGACCCUUACAUCGCUUUCCCAAAUGGGAAUAUCCUCAUACAGAGAAGUUAAACCAAUGAAAAUUUUGAAAUUUUG
rnacentral:misc_RNA from 1 species